CCUACGGGAGGCUGCAGUGGGGAAUAUUGCACAAUGGGCGCAAGCCUGAUGCAGCCAUGCCGCGUGUGUGAAGAAGGCCUUCGGGUUGUAAAGCACUUUCAGCGGGGAGGAAGGCGUUAAGGUUAAUAACCUUGUCGAUUGACGUUACCCGCAGAAGAAGCACCGGCUAACUCCGUGCCAGCAGCCGCGGUAAUACGGAGGGGGCAAGCGUUAAUCGGAAUUACUGGGCGGAAAGCGCACGCAGGCGGUCUGUCAAGUCGGAUGUGAAAUCCCCGGGCUCAACCUGGGAACUGCAUUCGAAACUGGCAGGCUAGAGUCUUGUAGAGGGGGGUAGAAUUCCAGGUGUAGCGGUGAAAUGCGUAGAGAUCUGGAGGAAUACCGGUGGCGAAGGCGGCCCCCUGGACAAAGACUGACGCUCAGGUGCGAAAGCGUGGGGAGCAAACAGGAUUAGAUACCCCAGUAGUC
rnacentral:rRNA from 1 species